AAAGUCGUAACAAGGUUUCCGUAGGUGAACCUGCGGAAGGAUCAUUAUCAAGGGGGUUCGCCCCCACCAAGAUAUCACCCUUUGUCUUUGAGUACCUUCGUUUCCUCGGCGGGCUCGCCCGCCAACGGGGACCACAAACAAACCUUUUUGUAGUUGCAGUAAACGUCAUAAAAUAAAUAAAAUCAAAACUUUCAACAACGGAUCUCUUGGUUCUG
rnacentral:misc_RNA from 1 species